rnacentral:rRNA from 1 species
UACGUAGGGUCCGAGCGUUGUCCGGAAUUACUGGGCGUAAAGAGCUCGUAGGUGGUUUGUCGCGUUGUUCGUGAAAACUCACAGCUCAACUGUGGGCGUGCGGGCGAUACGGGCAGACUGGAGUACUGCAGGGGAGACUGGAAUUCCUGGUGUAGCGGUGGAAUGCGCAGAUAUCAGGAAGAACACCUAUGGCGAAGGCAGCUCUCUGGGACGGUACUGACGCUGAGACGCGAAAGCGUGGGGAGCGAACAGG